AUUGAACGCUGGCGGCAGGCCUAACACAUGCAAGUCGAGCGGAUGAAGGGAGCUUGCUCCUGGAUUCAGCGGCGGACGGGUGAGUAAUGCCUAGGAAUCUGCCUGGUAGUGGGGGAUAACGUCCGGAAACGGGCGCUAAUACCGCAUACGUCCUGAGGGAGAAAGUGGGGGAUCUUCGGACCUCACGCUAUCAGAUGAGCCUAGGUCGGAUUAGCUAGUUGGUGGGGUAAAGGCCUACCAAGGCGACGAUCCGUAACUGGUCUGAGAGGAUGAUCAGUCACACUGGAACUGAGCCGCGGUCCAGACUCCUACGGGAGGCAGCAGUGGGGAAUAUUGGACAAUGGGCGAAAGCCUGAUCCAGCCAUGCCGCGUGUGUGAAGAAGGUCUUCGGAUUGUAAAGCACUUUAAGUUGGGAGGAAGGGCAGUAAGUUAAUACCUUGCUGUUUUGACGUUACCAACAGAAUAAGCACCGGCUAACUUCGUG
rnacentral:rRNA from 1 species